CGAGGACGAGGACGAGGAGGAGUGAGAGCCGAGGGGGUGGUAUUAGAGGGAUAACAAAUUCGUAGGUGCUGUUUUGAGGAGUGGAUGCUGUAGGCAUUGACUUGCCUUGGUCCAUUGCUAAAGUGGAAUUGUCUCUUUUCCUGUGCAAGAAAAGGCUGGCUGCCUUGCUGUUGCUUCGAGACGGGCUCGCUGCCUCGGGCCCUCGGGCUGAUCGGAUACGGGCCGCGAAGAACGCGAGGAUUGGGCUUGUUGAAACGAGGCUCACACUUACUUAUUAAUAUACUCUUAGUUUUUUUUUUCUCAGAUGUUCAUGUACUUUG